rnacentral:rRNA from 1 species
AGAUGUAACGGGGCUAAACCAUGCACCGAAGCUGCGGCAGCGACACUAUGUGUUGUUGGGUAGGGGAGCGUUCUGUAAGCCUGCGAAGGUGUGCUGUGAGGCAUGCUGGAGGUAUCAGAAGUGCGAAUGCUGACAUAAGUAACGAUAAAGCGGGUGAAAAGCCCGCUCGCCGGAAGACCAAGGGUUCCUGUCCAACGUUAAUCGGGGCAGGGUGAGUCGACCCCUAAGGCGAGGCCGAAAGGCGUAGUCGAUGGGAAACAGGUUAAUAUUCCUGUACUUGGUGUUACUGCGAAGGGGGGACGGAGAAGGCUAUGUUAGCCGGGCGACGGUUGUCCCGGUUUAAGCAUGUAGGCUGGUUAUCCAGGCAAAUCCGGAUAAUCAAGGCUGAGGUGUGAUGACGAGGCACUACGGUGCUGAAGUGACAAAUGCCCUGCUUCCAGGAAAAGCCUCUAAGCAUCAGGUAACAUCAAAUCGUACCCCAAACCGACACAGG